ACGUAGGCACCAAGCGUUGUCCGGAUUUAUUGGGCGUAAAGAGCUCGUAGGCUGUUCAGUUAGUUGGGUGUGAAAACUCCGGGCUUAACCCGGAGCCGCCACCCAAUACUGCUGUGACUAGAGUUCGGUAGGGGAGCGGGGAAUUCCUAGUGUAGCGGUGAAAUGCGCAGAUAUUAGGAGGAACACCGGUGGCGAAGGCGCCGCUCUGGGCCGAAACUGACGCUGAGGAGCGAAAGCAUGGGUAGCAAACAGG
rnacentral:rRNA from 1 species